UACGGGGGGGGCAAGCGUUGUUCGGAAUUACUGGGCGUAAAGGGCUCGUAGGUGGCCAACUAAGUCAGACGUGAAAUCCCCAGGCUCAACUUGGGAACUGCGUCUGAUACUGGAUGGCUUGAAUUCGGGAGAGGGAUGCAGAAUUCCAGGUGUAGCGGUGAAAUGCGUAGAUAUCUGGAGGAAUACCGGUGGCGAAGGCGGCAUCCUGGACCGAGAUUGACACUGAGUGAGCGAAAGCCAGGGGAGCAAACGGG
rnacentral:rRNA from 1 species